AUUGAACGCUGGCGGCAGGCCUAACACAUGCAAGUCGAGCGGAUGAAGGGAGCUUGCUCCUGGAUUCAGCGGCGGACGGGUGAGUAAUGCCUAGGAAUCUGCCUGGUAGUGGGGAUAACGUCCGGAAACGGGCGCUAAUACCGCAUACGUCCUGAGGGAGAAAGUGGGGGAUCUUCGGACCUCACGCUAUCAGAUGAGCCUAGGUCGGAUUAGCUAGUUGGUGGGGUAAAGGCCUACCAAGGCGACGAUCCGUAACUGGUCUGAGAGGAUGAUCAGUCACACUGGAACUGAGACACGGUCCAGACUCCUACGGGAGGCAGCAGUGGGGAAUAUUGGACAAUGGGCGAAAGCCUGAUCCAGCCAUGCCGCGUGUGUGAAGAAGGUCUUCGGAUUGUAAAGCACUUUAAGUUGGGAGGAAGGGCAGUAAGUUGAUACCUUGCUGUUUUGACGUUACCAACAGAAUAAGCACCGGCUAACUUCGUG
rnacentral:rRNA from 1 species